GACGGAGGAUGCAAGCGUUAUCCGGAAUUAUUGGGCGUAAAGCGUCCACAGGUGGUUUUUCAAGUCUGUUUUCAAAGAGCGAGGCUCAACCUUGUAAAGGGGAUGGAAACUGAAAGACUAGAGUUCGGUAGGGGUGGAGGGAAUUCCAGGUGUAGCGGUGAAAUGCGUAGAUAUCUGGAAGAACACCAGUGGCGAAAGCGCUCUACUGGGCCUGAACUGACACUGAGGGACGAAAGCUAGGGGAGCGAAAGGG
rnacentral:rRNA from 1 species